AGAAAAAGGGAAAUUACAACCACAUAAUUCUUCAACAGUGUUUAUCUUUUCUGGUUUCUGAGACACUUUUCUCAUGCUGGAAAUCAAAAAGUCAUGAUUUGGGUGAUCUAAGAAAGUUUCUAUCCCAUCAAUCCUUAUUAGUACUUUAUUUGAAUGAGAUUGUUGUGAGAUUAACCUGUCAUAGCUUCUGUGUAAACCAUAACCUUCAAUUAUUGUUAAGAUAACAAUAUUUGAUGGUGAUCAUAAAUAAAGAAUAGUGCU
rnacentral:lncRNA from 1 species